rnacentral:tRNA from 2 species
GGCCUCAUAGUUCAAUGGAUAGAAUUUCAGAUUCCGGUUCUGAAGAUUUGGGUUCGAAUCCCGAUGAGGUCACGA